GUAAUAUGAAGAACCCAUGGAAACUAUUAACAUGAAUUAUGUUAUCUACAACAGUUGCGUGAAUUCCUUUUAAUUAUACGUUUCUUAUAAACCCUAUUGCAUACCUUCAAAAUCACCAAACCCUAGCCCUCUCACUUUCAAACGCUGAAAUCCUACGCUCUCAUUCCUCUCGUGAACUUUGAUAUUGUAUCGUUUUGAGUUUUGCUUCAUCACGACAUCAGUUUACAUCAUCCUCUAAUAAUUGAACGCGUUGAUUCGCUUAACGACCCGUCGACUGUUCGUACUUCAGAGGCGAACCAGAGUUAGAUUGCUUGUCAAGAUCACGUGGAUUUAGCAAACAGUGAGUUUAUAUCUCUAUUUACCUCUUUAUUAAGCAAAUGUUAUAUUUUGUAUAUUUAUAUGUAUAAACAGCUUUCGAACUGUUUUUCGGCAUUGUGGAUUUGAUUUGGAACGUGCUACUCGAUGGGCAUCAUCGGGACUGCGUGCGCACCGGUAAUGAUUAUGGUAAUGAGGUAGGUUUGAGAUACGUCUCACCUUAGUGAGGGCACCGGUGGAAGAUACGUCUCCUGGGCUCACUAUUUAUUAAGUGAUAGUCGGGGUCGGUUAUUGAGAUACGUCUCACCGACACGACAAUGGAUUUAGAAUUGUGGUUUAGGGUUUCAUUGAUAAUCCAUAAUGAAAAUGUUUUAUUAAACGUUUUAAAGGUUUUUAACUUAAUAAAUGUAAAUGGUUAUAUAAACUCUACUCAGUAAAUCUGACCCCGUUGUUUUCCCAAAUUUUCCAGGUUUAUGAUUUGAGCUUUGGUCGAUCUCCAUUUCUUCUUUCUCAGAGGUUUUUAUUUUAUUUUCAGAAUAAAAGAGUCGAACUAUUUUAAACUCUUAGACCGCAGUAGUAGUUUCAUAUUAUUCUUGUCUUAGUCUUACGUUUAUAGUUUUGACUAUUGUUUGUUGGAUUGGUCCAACUAUUAUUUUAUCAGUUUUGGCAUGAUUACAGUGUUUAUGGAAUUAUAUUAUAUUGCCAUACUGUUGGAGUUAAAAUUCUAAAUAAGUAUACUUGGAAUAUAUGUUGCUUAUUGUACUGCUAGACUAGGCUGAAGUCUCGGUUGCCCCCGAGCAUGUGGUUUUCUGCAGGUACAUUGUUUUUAAAUGA